rnacentral:rRNA from 1 species
UUUUAUGGAGAGUUUGAUCCUGGCUCAGGAUGAACGCUGGCGGCGUGCCUAAUACAUGCAAGUCGAGCGAACGGACGAGAAGCUUGCUUCUCUGAUGUUAGCGGCGGACGGGUGAGUAACACGUGGAUAACCUACCUAUAAGACUGGGAUAACUUCGGGAAACCGGAGCUAAUACCGGAUAAUAUUUUGAACCGCAUGGUUCAAAAGUGAAAGACGGUCUUGCUGUCACUUAUAGAUGGAUCCGCGCUGCAUUAGCUAGUUGGUAAGGUAACGGCUUACCAAGGCAACGAUGCAUAGCCGACCUGAGAGGGUGAUCGGCCACACUGGAACUGAGACACGGUCCAGACUCCUACGGGAGGCAGCAGUAGGGAAUCUUCCGCAAUGGGCGAAAGCCUGACGGAGCAACGCCGCGUGAGU